GGCCCUACACUGGAACAGGCCACUGAGGAGGAGGAAGAUGAUGAUGAGGCGGCAUUUAGUGACGACGAGCCAGAAUACAUUUUUGUCCGUCGCCAACCAGUGGAGGAGACACCUGUGCCAAUGAUUUAUGGGGGCCCUAGACAGGGGCAAGAUAGGUGGGCUGGCCUAGAAGCGGGCAGGCAGCAGCCCACUUAUACA